UACGUAGGGUGCGAGCGUUGUCCGGAAUUAUUGGGCGUAAAGAGCUCGUAGGCGGCUUGUCACGUCGGAUGUGAAAGCCCGGGCUUAACUCCGGGUCUGCAUUCGAUACGGGCAGGCUAGAGUUCGGUAGGGGAGAUCGGAAUUCCUGGUGUAGCGGUGAAAUGCGCAGAGUAUCAGGAGGAACACCGGUGGCGAAGGCGGAUCUCUGGGCCGAUACUGACGCUGAGGAGCGAAAGCGUGGGGAGCGAACAGG
rnacentral:rRNA from 1 species